CUUUGGGAUCAAGGUCUCCUUGACAGUAAGCUGACCCAAGUUUUCUGGAACUGUUGUUCCAUAGCUGGAUAGCUCUGUGCUGCUUUGUACUUAAGUGUUCAAUGGGAUGCAAGCCAUUCUGUCAGAUGGGCUUCUGAAGUGCUGUACUUUGAGAAAGUGUUGAAGCCAGUUACUGUUCUAUCUCUCCAGAAUAACACCCAGCCUGCAGCCUACUGCAGAACCGAGACUUUCAUUUUGCCACAGGACACCUCAGCAGUCCUGCAGCAGGCCAAAAAGACGCUUCACCUCAAGGACUCUCAUGAGUAGAAAAGCAACAAAGCUAUGCAGUAAUAUAGUGGAGGCUUUGCAAUAAU